rnacentral:pre_miRNA from 1 species
AAAAAAAGCAAACACUGAUUUUCGUAUCCAACGUUUGACCGUCCAUGUUAUUUAAAAAAAUUAAAAAGAUAAGUCACGUAUAAAAUAUUAAUUAUGUUUUAUCAUCUAACAACAAUAAAAAUAAGAAUUAUAAAAAAAUUUCAUAUAAGACGAACAGUCAAAGUUGAACACGGAAACUCAGGGUUUGUCUUUUU